AACGAACGCUGGCGGCAUGCCUAACACAUGCAAGUCGAGCGAGAUCUUCGGGUCUAGUGGCGCACGGGUGCGUAACGCGUGGGAAUCUGCCCUUUGGUUCGGAAUAACGGUUGGAAACGACUGCUAAUACCGGAUGAUGACGAAAGUCCAAAGAUUUAUCGCCAGAGGAUGAGCCCGCGUAGGAUUAGCUAGUUGGUGUGGUAAAGGCGCACCAAGGCGACGAUCCUUAGCUGGUCUGAGAGGAUGAUCAGCCACACUGGGACUGAGACACGGCCCAGACUCCUACGGGAGGCAGCAGUGGGGAAUAUUGGACGAUGGGCGAAAGCCUGAUCCAGCAAUGCCGCGUGAGUGAUGAAGGCCUUAGGGUUGUAAAGCUCUUUUACCCGGGAUGAUAAUGACAGUACCGGGAGAAUAAGCUCCGGCUAACUCCGUGCCAGCCGCCGCCGUAA
rnacentral:rRNA from 1 species